UACGUAGGCAGCAAGCGUUGUUCGGAAUUACUGGGCGUAAAGAGUGUGUAGGCGGUGCUCUAAGUUUGGUGUGAAAUCUCCCGGCUCAACCGGGAGGCUGCAUCGAAUACUGGAAUGCUAGAGGGUGGGAGAGGUAAGCGGAAUUCCUGGUGUAGCGGUGAAAUGCGUAGAUAUCAGGAGGAACACCGUGUGGUGUAGACAGCUUACUGGACCACUUCUGACGCUGAGACACGAAAGCGUGGGUAGCAAACAGG
rnacentral:rRNA from 1 species